AUUUCUGAAAAGAGCAGUAGUCCUCCGGGCAGAGGCAGGGACAGGGGCAGGGACAGGUGCGGGCUGCGGGAGGGACCCGGAGCCCACAGAGGUAAUUCCACUCUGCGCGUCAAUUAUUCAUGGCGCUCGGGCUGGCUCUGCGUGGUCACCUGCGCGCUGCAGAGUGCCCCAGCGCACCGGGGACUGCUCGGGGGCUGCUGGGGGGCGGCUGGGAGGCCUGUCGCUCGAGGUGAGGCCGGAUCAAGGAGAGUCACGCGGCUCCCUGGGGAGAAGGGGCGCCGGGCCCCCACAGACCCGAGAGCAGCCAUGAGCUGGUGUCCAGACGCCCAGGAGGGCUUCCAGAACCUUCUGGUGCCUCCAACAAACAGAUUCUUUCACUGAAGAACAGCAACUUGCCAGCAACCAGCCUGCGGCCCAGGGUGCAUCACUGUCUGCAGGAGAGGGACAGAUGCCCCUUGCAUGGACGGAAGACUCAGGAACCUACAUACCCCAACAUCUCCGGACCGGGGAAGGGACCCUAACCCAGUUCCUUAUUGCUGCCCUCCUGUGAGGACAGGGUGGGCAGAGGCCUGCAGCCUGGUAGGAAGAGCAGAAACUGGGAAAUAACAGGGCUGACUUCUCUCUGAGAAGAGAAAAAUUGGAACAUUCCAGAAAGAUGAGUUUCCUAACACUUGGCUUCCCCAGUGAACAGAGGUGAACAACUUGGAAUCAGAUCCGUGGGUUCGAAUCCUGCUCAGGCUGUAGGACAGGGACUGUCUCACUUUCCACGUGUGGAAGAUGAUGGUAAUAGUCCUGGCCUCUAAGGAUGGCGGUGACAAUAAAUGGCUUAAAGCAUGGAAUAUCCUUGCCACACUGCCUGGCACAUGUUAAGGGCUGAAUAAAUGUUAGUGAUAAUUAUUCAUACCUUAUUAAUAAUAUUUUCAUUUUUACUUACUCAUCUUUAACAGUAAUUAAAGAGUGACCACCUAAAAUAAUUUGCUGGAAUCACACAGAGAAGUUGAAAAACAAGGAUGAUCUGAGAGUAACCGACAGCUUUGUAAUACUAAAUACUAAAUACUGAAGAGAAAUUACUAAGAUUUUUAAAAGUAAAAAUUUGACAAUGACUUUGAAUGAGAAUUAAUCAUCUGAGUCUGUUCAGGAGAUGAAAUUGGGCUUUUUGAAAACUAAUACUUGUGUCCUCACCUCAGCAUCAAAACGGGUGCUUUUGGGAAGAGAUAUCUAGGGACUUGACCAAAACCGGGAUUCUUCCUAAAAACCACAGCUUAAAUGUUUUAAACAACCAAAAUAAGUUUCUUCCCCACUGAGAUACAGAAGAAUAAGCAAAAAGAAAAAAAAAAAAAGAAAGAAAUUAGGACAUUAGAUUUCAAUGUCCUAGUGAAUGCCUUACCAAUAACGAUUCCCUUUUCCUGCCAGACACUGGUGACCUGUUGUUUCUCCUAUUUUCUCCCUGGAGAGUUGAGAAAUUAUUGCAUGAUUUAUCUUUAGUGCAGGUACAACAAGGAUAUGGCCACAUAUUACCCCAAAUGAGGGAUUUGUAUCACAUUAUUUUCCAUUGGUGAGUAAUCGACGGGAAAUGGGAAAUGUCACUUCAAGGCAGGCUGGC
ensembl:lncRNA